rnacentral:lncRNA from 1 species
CUUCAGUGCCAGGUCCGUUGAGGCCACGGGAGUUCAGUGGGGCGAGCACCUCUGUGCUUCCCUCCACCUCCCACUGGGAAAGCCUGCGCGACCCUCGGUGGGUGGAGCACGUGGGGGAAUAAUCAAAUUUGGAAAGCUGUCUUGGAGAGAGUGACAACACAACUACUAUCAUGUUGCCUACUUUAUGACUGGAACUCAAGAUGGCUUAAAAAAAACAGUUAAAAAAAAAAAAAAAAGGAAAAAGGUGGAGUUUGUGCAAAGGUGACAGGUGACAGCCACAGCAGAACACUUCCCAGAGACAAGUUAACAGUCUCAGCAUCGACCAGGGUUACAGUGCUCUGAUCACGGUGACGAGACUUCCUAGGAAUGUUCCAGCUUUCUGCCUUAGGACUACAGAGACAGGGGAAUUGUCUGGAAAAGAAAUGUAAAAACCAAAAACAAAAAAAUUCUUAUACCAAAGUUUUGUUCAUCAGGUAUGCUUCAAGUCAGGAUUAAGCCGGUGCUACAUAGUGUUCAGCAAGGUGUGUUCGAAGGCAAACAUUGAUCACAUUUUUGUUCAAAAAGCUCAAUCUUUAAGGAGUCCUGUGUAAGAAAACCACUUGGAAAAUAUAUCCUUGUAUGGACUUCAAAAACUGAUUAUACAAAAACUUUUUAAAAAUAAAUUAGGCAAUUAAAAAACGUUCUCCGCAGUGGGGCCGGAGUCAGGCUGUCCUGGCAGAGCCGUGGCUGCCACCUUUGCUGUAACUGGGGUCAUUCUUUUCUAGCCACAUUUCGGCCAGCUGCUGCGUGGACCCAAAUGUCGAUGCUUUCGACCCCAAGCACAUUUUAUACUGUUUGGGGUCCAGAUUAGGGUCACAGACGACAGGGUGGUGGAUGUGAACAACUCCAACCUCCUGGCUCCUGAAUGUCUUCAACCCUGCCUGGACAACCUUGUUAAAGAGGUCCACAUCCUCCAGCCCCCAGCCUUGGAUGGAGACAUCGAAGCCACCCACUCUGACAAGAUCUCCCUUGUAAAUACAAGUGAUGCCAAACCCAUAGUUUCUCCAGAAACCUGUUUUCUGAGUAAAGGCAAAAUGGUUGUCACUGGGAACCUUCCCACUAUAAACAAUCUUUGGAUCAUACUGGCUAAAGAUGAUUGGGAAAUAGAUCUGCUGCCCCAGCACUGUGUUGGCUCGGCACCUCUGUAAAAAUUCCGCUGUAAACACCAGGUCCACAUCACAGAAGAAGAGCAAAGACUCAUUGUUAAACUGGGAAGAGCCUACUUCUAGGGCCAGUGCUCUUGAAAACCCUCCCGACACAGGCAGGACCUGCAUGUCAGCCUUAGGGUACUUGACUCGGUAAUCUCGCAUCAGCUCGACCUGUUUGGCCUUGUCGGGGUUAGAGUCAGAGUUGAAAAGCAGAAUGACCAGCUUCACGUUCAGAUUUGGAAUGAGACACGUCUUCUCAAAGUUCCCCAUGAACCUCACAAACAUGUCGAAGCGCCCAGACAACGGGAUCAGAAUGUUGAUCUUCUUUUCUUUGGGUUCUUUGUGCUCCGUCUUGGAUCCAGGAAGCUGGAAGGCAACGAGCUUCUUCAGGGAAUUGGACAGGAAUGACAGGGACCCAGAGUCCUGGUUGAUUCUGUCUGCCAGCUCUUGUGCAUCCAGCUCCUCGUGCUCCACAAACUGCAUCUUGCUGAAGGUCUGCUGCAGGUACGCGUGCCGCCUCACAGGGACCGUCAUCUUCUUCCCUUUGUGUUUCUUAUACAGGAGCAGCAGGUCCAGAAUGUACUCUGCCCCGUACAUGGGGUUCACACGCCUGUAGCCAUACUGGAUCUCCUUGAAGUCGAUGAUGCGCCCGCGAGUCUUGGCGUUGGCAUUGAUCAUCUCCAUCACUUGCAUGACUAUGUCAUCCAAGGCCUCCCUCUGUGCUGAGUCCAUCCCUCUGCGGGGAGGCUGGCCAUCUGUGGCUGAGUAUAAGUAUUUCCCAGUAAGGAACUCCCACUCCAGGAUCUCCUCUCUCUGCCCUGCGCCGCCUCUGCAGCUGCACAUCCUCCGG